rnacentral:other from 1 species
CAUGCCCUGGGGUGUUUGGUAGUUGGUUACGUCCCUCGAGCCGAUAAUCACACUUUUGGAGGUUGCUCGUAGUUUCUGGUGUGCAUGUCCGAUUACCGGAAAGCCUAACGUUACUCAGCGACCCCCUCCUUGAACCUUCGGGUUCAGGGCCAUAAUCGACGCCGGCACCUUGGGGAUCUU